UACGUAGGGGGCAAGCGUUGUCCGGAAUCAUUGGGCGUAAAGAGCGUGUAGGCGGCCAUACAGGUCAGCUGUGAAAACUCGAGGCUCAACCUCGAGACGUCGGUUGAAACCGUAUGGCUAGAGUCCGGAAGAGGAGAGUGGAAUUCCCGGUGUAGCGGUGAAAUGCGCAGAUAUCGGGAAGAACACCUAUGGCGGAAGGCAGCUCUCUGGGACGGUACUGACGCUGAGACGCGAAAGCGUGGGGGAGCGAACAGG
rnacentral:rRNA from 1 species